CCUACGGGGGGCAGCAGUGGGGAAUAUUGGACAAUGGGGGGAACCCUGAUCCAGCCAUGCCGCGUGUGUGAAGAAGGCCCUCGGGUUGUAAAGCACUUUCAGUGAGGAAGAACGCCUGGUGGUUAAUACCCAUCAGGAAAGACAUCACUCACAGAAGAAGCACCGGCUAACUCCGUGCCAGCAGCCGCGGUAAUACGGAGGGUGCGAGCGUUAAUCGGAAUUACUGGGCGUAAAGCGCGCGUAGGUGGCUUGAUAAGCCGGUUGUGAAAGCCCCGGGCUCAACCUGGGAACGGCAUCCGGAACUGUCAAGCUAGAGUGCAGGAGAGGAAGGUAGAAUUCCCGGUGUAGGGGUGAAAUGCGUAGCGAUCGGGAGGAAUACCAGUGGCGAAGGCGGCCUUCUGGACUGACACUGACACUGAGGUGCGAAAGCGUGGGUAGCAAACAGGAUUAGAUACCCUAGUAGUC
rnacentral:rRNA from 1 species